ACUGCUCAGUAACACGUAGUCAACCUGCCCUCGGGUCGAGAAUAAUCUCGGGAAACUGAGGCUAAUGAGCGAUAGGUCAAGAUUCCUGGAAAUGGGUUUUGGUCUAAACGGCGUGACAGCAUCUUGUCAUGUCCGCCCGAGGAUGGGACUGCGGCCGAUCAGGCUGUUGGUGGGGUAAAGGCCCACCAAACCAGUAACCGGUACGGGCUUUGAGAGAAGGAGCCCGGAGAUGGACACUGAGACAAGGGUCCAGGUCCUACGGGGCGCAGCAGGCGCGAAACCUUCGCAAUGCGCGCAAGCGCGACGAGGUUAUUCCGAGUGAUUUCCGCUGAGGAAAUCUUUUCCUAGAUCUAAAAAGUCUGGGGAAUAAGGGGAGGGCAAGUCUGGUGUCAGCCGCCGCGGUAAUACCAGCUCCUCGAGUGGUCAGGGCGUUUAUUGGGCCUAAAGCAUCCGUAGCCUGCUUGGUAGGUCUCCUGUUAAAUCCAACGGCUCAACCGUUGGUCUGCAGGAGAUACCGCUAGGCUAGGAGGCGGGAGAGGCGGACGGUACUCCGAGGGUAGGGGUAAAAUCCUUUGAUCCCCGGAAGACCACCAGUGGCGAAGGCGGUCCGCCAGAACGCGCUCGACGGUGAGGGAUGAAAGCUGGGGGAGCGAACCGGAUUAGAUACCCGGGUAGUCCCAGCUGUAAACGAUGCGAGCUAGGUGACACGACGCCUUCGGGGCAUCGUGGUGCCGCAGGGAAGCCGUUAAGCUCGCCGCCUGGGGAGUACGGACGCAAGUCUGAAACUUAAAGGAAUUGGCGGGGGAGCACCACAAGGGGUGAAGCCUGCGGUUCAAUUGGAGUCAACGCCGGG
rnacentral:rRNA from 1 species